GACGAACGCUGGCGGCGCGCUUAACACAUGCAAGUCGAACGAAGUGGCGAACGGGUGAGUAAUACGUGAGUAACCUGACCUCCUUUUUGGGAUAAGCCUUGGAGACGGGGUCUAAUACCGGAUAAAGGGGGAUGGGCUCGCGGCGUAUCAGCUUGUUGGUGGGGUGAUGGCCUACCAAGGCGGUGACGGGUAGCCGGCCUGUGGGGGUGACCGGCCACAUGUGGGGUGAGUUACGGCCCGAACUGAGACGGGAGGCAGCAGUAGGGGAGAUUGAACAAUGGGCGAAAGCGUGAUGCGGCGACGCCGCGUGGGGGAUGAAGGCGUGCGUGUUGUAAACCUCUUUCACUAUCGAACGGGUAGGAGGAGAAGAAGCGCCGGCUAACUACGUGCCAGCAGCCGCGGUAAUUC
rnacentral:rRNA from 1 species